GUGGGGAAUAUUGGACAAUGGGCGAAAGCCUGAUCCAGCCAUGCCGCGUGUGUGAAGAAGGUCUUCGGAUUGUAAAGCACUUUAAGUUGGGAGGAAGGGCAGUAAGUUAAUACCUUGCUGUUUUGACGUUACCGACAGAAUAAGCACCGGCUAACUUCGUGCCAGCAGCCGCGGUAAUACGAAGGGUGCAAGCGUUAAUCGGAAUUACUGGGCGUAAAGCGCGCGUAGGUGGUUUUGUAAGUUGGAGAUGAAAUCCCCGGGCUCAACCUGGUAACUGACGCCAAAACUGCAUGACUAGAGUACGGUAGAGGGUAGUGGGAUUUCCUGUGUAGCGUGGAAAUGCGUAGAUAUAGGAAGGAACACCAGUGGCGAAGGCGACUACCUGGACUGAUACUGACGCUGAGGUGCGAAAGCGUGGGGAGCAAACAGGAUUAGAAACCCUUGUAGUCC
rnacentral:rRNA from 1 species